UCGAGAAUCUUCGGCAAUGGACGAAAGUCUGACCGAGCGAUGCCGCGUGCGGGAUGAAGGCCCUCGGGUUGUAAACCGUGAAAGUAAGGAGGAAGGCGCUGUGAAGAGCAGCGUUUGACCGAUUUACAGUAAGGACGGGCUAAGCUCGUGCCAGCAGCCGCGGUAACACGAACCGUCCAAACGUUAUUCGGAAUUAUUGGGCUUAAAGGGUGCGUAGGCGGCGCGUUAAGUCGGGUGUGAAAGCCCACAGCUCAACUGUGGAACUGCGCCCGAUACUGGCGUGCUUGAGGGAGACAGAGGUAAGCGGAACUGAUGGUGGAGCGGUGAAAUGCGUUGAUAUCAUCAGGAGCACCAGUGGCGAAAGCGGCUUACUGGGUCUCUUCUGACGCUGAGGCACGAAAGCUAGGGUAGCGAACGGGAUUAGAUACCCCCGUAGUCC
rnacentral:rRNA from 1 species